rnacentral:rRNA from 1 species
GAUGAACGCUGGCGGCGUGCCUAAUACAUGCAAGUCGAGCGAACGGACGAGAAGCUUGCUUCUCUGAUGUUAGCGGCGGACGGGUGAGUAACACGUGGAUAACCUACCUAUAAGACUGGUAUAACUUCGGGAAACCGGAGCUAAUACCGGAUAAUAUUUUGAACCGCAUGGUUCAAAAGUUAAAGACGGUCUUGCUGUCACUUGUAGAUGGAUCCGCGCUGCAUUAGCUAGUUGGUAAGGUAACGGCUUACCAAGGCAACGAUGCAUAGCCGACCUGAGAGGGUGAUCGGCCACAAUGGAACUGAGACACGGUCAAGACUCCUACGGGAGGCAGCAGUAGGGAAUCUUCCGCAAGGGGCGAAAGCCUGACGGAGCAACGCCGCGUGAGUGAUGAAGGUCUUCGGAUCGUAAAACUCUGUUAUUAGGGAAGAACAUAUGUGUAAGUAACUGUGCACAUAUUGACGGUACCUAAUCAGAAAGCCACGGCUAACUACGUG